GAUGAACGCUGGCGGCGUGCCUAAUACAUGCAAGUAGAACGCUGAAGGAAGGAGCUUGCUCUUUCCGGAUGAGUUGCGAACGGGUGAGUAACGCGUAGGUAACCUGCCUGGUAGCGGGGGAUAACUAUUGGAAACGAUAGCUAAUACCGCAUAACAGUAGAUGUUGCAUGAUAUCUACUUAAAAGGUGCAAUUGCACCACUACCAGAUGGACCUGCGUUGUAUUAGCUAGUUGGUGAGGUAACGGCUCACCAAGGCGACGAUACAUAGCCGACCUGAGAGGGUGAUCGGCCACACUGGGACUGGGACACGGCCCAGACUCCUACGGGAGGCAGCAGUAGGGAAUCUUCGGCAAUGGACGGAAGUCUGACCGAGCAACGCCGCGUGAGUGAAGAAGGGUUUCGGAUCGUAAAGCUCUGUUGUAAGAGAAGAACGAGUGUGAGAGUGGAAAGUUCACACUGUGACGGUAGCUUACCAGAAAGGGACGGCUAACUACGUG
rnacentral:rRNA from 1 species